rnacentral:rRNA from 1 species
GACGAACGCUGGCGGCGUGCUUAACACAUGCAAGUCGAACGGAAAGGCCCUGCUUGCAGGGUGCUCGAGUGGCGAACGGGUGAGUAACACGUGGGUGAUCUGCCCCUUACUUUGGGAUAAGCCUGGGAAACUGGGUCUAAUACUGGAUAGGACCAUGCUGUAGGUGGUGUGGUGGAAAGAUUAGUUUCGGUAAGGGAUGAGCUCGCGGCCUAUCAGCUUGUUGGUGGGGUAAUGGCCUACCAAGGCGUCGACGGGUAGCCGGCCUGAGAGGGUGGACGGCUACAUUGGGACUGAGAUACGGCCCAGACUCCUACGGGAGGCAGCAGAGGGGAAUAUUGCACAAUGGGCGCAAGCCUGAUGCAGCGACGCCGCGUGGGGGAUGACGGCCUUCGGGUUGUAAACUCCUUUCAGCCAUGACGAAGCCCUUGUGGUGACGGUAGUGGUAGAAGAAGCACCGGCUAACUACGUG